AUUGAACGCUGGCGGCAGGCCUAACACAUGCAAGUCGGGCGAGCCGCGGACGGGUGAGUAAUGUAUGGGAAUCUGCCUGAUGGCGGGGGAUAACUACUGGAAACGGUAGCUAAUACCGCAUACCAUCAGAUGAACCCAUAUGGGCUUGGCUUGUAGGGGGGGUAACGGCUCACCUAGGCGACGAACCCUAGCUGGUCUGAGAGGAUGAUCAGCCACACUGGGACUGAGACACGGCCCAGACUCCUACGGGAGGAAGCAGUGGGGAAUAUUGAACAAUGGGCGCAAUCCUGAUGCAGCCAGGCCGCGUGGAGGAAGAAGGCCUUAGGGUUGUAAAGUACGUUCAGCGGGGAGGCGUUACCCGCAGAAGAAGCACCGGCUAACUCCGUGCCAGCAGCCGCGGUAAUAC
rnacentral:rRNA from 1 species